GACGAACGCUGGCGGCGUGCUUAACACAUGCAAGUCGAACGGACAGACAGAGAGCUUGCCCUCUUGAAGUUAGUGGCGAACGGGUGAGUAACGCGUAAUCAACCUGCCCUUCAGAGGGGGAUAACAACGGGAAACCGUUGCUAAUACCGCGUACGAUUCAUGAACGGCAUCGUUUAUGAAUGAAAGGUGGCCUCUAUGUAUAAGCUAUCGCUGAAGGAGGGGAUUGGGUCUGAUUAGCUAGUUGGAGGGGUAACGGCCCACCCAGGCAAUGAUCAGUAGCCGGUCGGAGAGGAUGAACGGCCACAUUGGGACUGAGAAACGGCCCAAACUCCUACGGGAGGCAGCAGUGGGGAAUCUUCCGCAAUGGACGAAAGUCUGACGGAGCAACGCCGCGUGAGUGAUGAAGGUCUUCGGAUUGUAAAGCUCUGUUAAUCGGGACGAAAGAGUUCUGCGUGAAUAAUGCAGAAAAGUGACGGUACCGGAAUAGAAAGCCACGGCUAACUACGUGCCAGCCGCCGCCGUAA
rnacentral:rRNA from 1 species